UCUUCAUCUCUUCUCAGCUGGGCACGGGAUGUGGGCCUCCUUGAUCCUCAAUGUCUUUGAAGUGAUGCAAAUCUUGAGUGUAACUAAGCUGACUCUUUUCUUCCAGCUGGCAGUUUCACUCUAAAGACUUCAGUCCAGCUAAAUCUGGGGAAGAGAAUGAAGGUGGAGACUUGUGCACAUCUGAAGCUGCUGUUUCUAGGUGGUCUUCAGGUUCACGUAGCCAGAGCUGAGCAUUCCUGGGAACAAGGCAUCAGAUGAAAAAUCGAAAAGCGAAAAACCCAAUGAAGGGAGGCUUUAAGUGGUCAAACAAGCAGUAUGAUCCUCAGGGUAUGGAUAUACUUUGAACCUGAUUUAUCCACCAAGUAUUCUUAAUUUUGGCUAUUCCAAAAGAUUCUCUGUCUGUAUCAAGGUGAGCUCUCGGGGAUCUGCUGUGGUUUAGAUGAAUAAGAAGUCAUUGAAAUAUCUUGUUCGUAGCAUAAACAAGAACUGUCUUUCU
rnacentral:lncRNA from 1 species